UACGGAGGGUGCAAGCGUUGUCCGGAAUCAUUGGGUGUAAAGGGUGCGUAGGCGGAAGCCUAAGUCGGAGGUGAAAUCUUGCCGCUCAACGGUAAGCGUGCCUUCGAUACUGGGUUUCUUGAGUUCGGAAGAGGUCGGUGGAAUUCGUGGUGUAGCGGUGAAAUGCAUAGAGAUCACGAAGAACACCAGUGGCGAAGGCGGCCGACUGGUCCGAUACUGACGCUGAGGCACGAGAGCGUGGGGAGCGAACAGG
rnacentral:misc_RNA from 1 species